rfam:Pseudomonas fluorescens F113, complete genome.
CUUUAUGGCGGCUGUGCGUGGGGCACUUCGGUGCGCCGGGUUCCUUGAUUCCUGGUCUGCUAACCCGCGCACAGUCGCCACCUCU